rnacentral:rRNA from 1 species
CCUACGGGAGGCUGCAGUAGGGAAUAUUGCUCAAUGGGGGAAACCCUGAAGCAGCAACGCCGCGUGGAGGAUGAAGGUUUUCGGAUUGUAAACUCCUUUUGUUAGAGAAGAUAAUGACGGUAUCUAACGAAUAAGCAACGGCUAACUCCGUGCCAGCAGCCGCGGUAAUACGGAGGGUGCAAGCGUUAGUCCGAAUCACUGGGCGUAAAGAGAGCGUAGGCGGGAUAGCAAGUCAGAUGUGAAAUCCUAUGGCUUAACCAUAGAACUGCAUUUGAAACUGUUAUUCUAGAGUAUGGGAGAGGUAGGUGGAAUUCUUGGUGUAGGGGUAAAAUCCGUAGAGAUCAAGAGGAAUACUCAUUGCGAAGGCGACCUGCUAGAACAUAACUGACGCUGAUGCGCGAAAGCGUGGGGAGCAAACAGGAUUAGAUACCCUUGUAGUC